UUUCCGUAGGUGAACCUGCGGAAGGAUCAUUACCGAGCGAGGUCCCUCUGGGUCCAGCCUCCCAGCCGUGUCUCUUGUACCUCAUUGCUUCGGCGGGCCCGCCUCACGGCCGCCGGGGGGCAUCCCGCCCCCGGGCCGGCGCCCGACGAAGAGACCCACGAACACUGUCAGAAGAAGGCUGUCCGAGUUCAAUGAAAAAUUAUUUAAAACUUUCAACAACGGAUCUCUUGGUUCCG
rnacentral:misc_RNA from 1 species